CGGAUCCGCGCCGCUGCAGAGUUUGAUCCUGGCUCAGGAUGAACGCUAGCGACAGGCCUAACACAUGCAAGUCGAGCGGCAGCACCUCGGGUGGCGAGCGGCGCACGGGUGAGUAACGCGUAUGUAACCUGCCCAUGAGUGGGGGAUAGCCCGGUGAAAACCGGAUUAAUACCGCAUAAUACCAUUAUCUGACAUCAUUCAAUGGUUAAAGAUUCAUUGCUCAUGGAUGGACAUGCGUUGGAUUAGCUAGUCGGCGGGGCAACGGCCCACCGAGGCUACGAUCCAUAGGGGUUCUGAGAGGAAGGUCCCCCACAUUGGUACUGAGACACGGACCAAACUCCUACGGGAGGCAGCAGUGAGGAAUAUUGGUCAAUGGGCGGAAGCCUGAACCAGCCAAGUCGCGUGAAGGAUGAAGGCAUUACGUGUUGUAAACUUCUUUAGCUGUGGAGAAAUAAGGUGCUCGUGAGCACCGAUGCUAGUACACAGAGAAUAAGGAUCGGCUAACUCCGUGCCAGCAGCCGCGGUAAUACGGAGGAUCCGAGCGUUAUCCGGAUUCAUUGGGUUUAAAGGGUGCGCAGGCGGUGCCUUAAGUCAGCGGUAAAAUCGUGGGGCUCAACCCCAUCCCGCCGUUGAUACUGGGGCACUUGAUUACGGUCGAGGCAGGCGGAAUUCGUCGUGUAGCGGUGAAAUGCAUAGAUAUGACGAAGAACACCGAUUGCGUAGGCAGCCUACCAGGCCGUUAAUGACGCUCAUGCACGAAAGUGCGGGGAUCGAACAGGAUUAGAUACCCUGGUAGUCCGCACAGUAAACGAUGAAUACUUGCUUUCGGCGAUACACUGUCGGAGGCAAAGCGAAAGCGAUAAGUAUUCCACCUGGGGAGUACGCCGGCAACGGUGAAACUCAAAGGAAUUGACGGGGGCCCGCACAAGCGGAGGAACAUGUGGUUUAAUUCGAUGCUACGCGAGGAACCUUACCCGGGCUUGAAAGUUAGCGACGGCGGAUGAAAGUCUGCUUCCCUUCGGGGCGCGAAACUAGGUGCUGCAUGGUUGUCGUCAGCUCGUGCCGUGAGGUGUCGGCUUAAGUGCCAUAACGAGCGCAACCCUUUUCUCCAGUUGCCAUCGGUUCGGCCGGGGACUCUGGAGACACUGCCAUCGCAAGAUGUGAGGAAGGAUGGGAUGACGUCAAAUCAGCACGGCCCUUACGUCCGGGGCGACACACGUGUUACAAUGGGAGGGACAGAAAGCUGCGAAGCCGCGAGGCUGAGCCAAUCUCCAAACCUUCUCCCAGUUCGGAUCGGAGUCUGCAACCCGACUCCGUGAAGCUGGAUUCGCUAGUAAUCGCGCAUCAGCCAUGGCGCGGUGAAUACGUUCCCGGGCCUUGUACACACCGCCCGUCAAGCCAUGAAAGCCGAGGGUACCUGAAGUCUGGGGUAAGAUCCGGCCUAGGGUAAAAUUGGUGAUUGGGGCUAAGUCGUAACAAGGUAACCCGGGCGGCCGCUCAGCC
rnacentral:rRNA from 1 species